rnacentral:rRNA from 1 species
GAUGAACGCUGGCGGCGUGCCUAAUACAUGCAAGUCGAGCGAACGGACGAGAAUCUUGCUUUUCUGAUGUUAGCGGCGGACGGGUGAGUAACACGUGGAUAACCUACCUAUAAGACUGGGAUAACUUCGGGAAACCGGAGCUAAUACCGGAUAAUAUUUUGAACCGCAUGGUUUAAAAGUGAAAGACGGGCUUGCUGUCACUUAUAGAUGGAUCCGCGCUGCAUUAGCUAGUUGGUAAGGUAACGGCUUACCAAGGCAACGAAUGAUAGCCGACGGGAGAGGGUGGUCGCCGGCACGAGAACGUGAACGCCGACCCGAGGCCUGAGACAGGCAGCAGAAGGCAACGUGAGGCAACAGUCGAAAGCCUUGCGGAGCAGCCGCGCGCGAGUUAUAGAGGCGUCGCGUUCGUGAUACCCUGUUACUGGUUAAAAACCUCUGUCUAUGGAGAAGAACCCAACGUGACGGUACCUAAUCAAAAAGCCCCGGCUAACUACGUG